GACGAACGCUGGCGGCGUGCUUAACACAUGCAAGUCGAACGCUGAAGCUCAGCUUUUGUUGGGUGGAUGAGUGGCGAACGGGUGAGUAACACGUGAGUAACCUGCCCCCUUCUUUGGGAUAACGCCCGGAAACGGGUGCUAAUACUGGAUAUUCACUGGUCUUCGCCUGGGGGUUGGUGGAAAGGGUUUUUCUGGUGGGGGAUGGGCUCGCGGCCUAUCAGCUUGUUGGUGGGGUGAUGGCCUACCAAGGCUUUGACGGGUAGCCGGCCUGAGAGGGUGACCGGUCACAUUGGGACGGAGAUACGGCCCAGGCUCCUACGGGAGGCAGCAGUGGGGAAUAUUGCACAAUGGGCGCAAGCCUGAUGCAGCGACGCCGCGUGAGGGAUGGAGGCCUUCGGGUUGCGAACCUCUUUCGCUCAUGGUCAAGCCGCAACAAUGGUUGUGGUGAGGGUAGUGGGUAAAGAAGCGCCGGCUAACUACGUG
rnacentral:rRNA from 1 species